rnacentral:siRNA from 1 species
CAAUGACAACAUUGAUGUAGUGUG